AUCAUGUACCAUCGAGUGGUUGAAGAAGAGAAUAAUCAUAAGAAGAAACAGAUCUCCUAGGGUUUCUUAUCGUACUCGAUGAACGCUUUUGUACAAGCUCCUCUUAAUCGGUGACUCUGAGUUUGUUGAUUAGAAGCAACCUCUGCCGGACGAUUGUUGAGGAGAUGGAAAUGUGAAAGGUGAUACCAAGUGUGUUGAUAGGUGAUACCAGUACAAAAGUUUAGGACAUCAGCAAGAUCUCCCGUCAUCUCAAUUUGAGCAAUUAAACGUAGUUUUGUUAAUCACUAUCGGUGUUUUAAUUACUAGCAGUGCUUAAAAAGUUUUCCAUCAGCUGUUUCACUUAACAAUAGUUUUCGUUAUUUAUUCUAAAUUCAUCAGUUUUUGUAGGUAAACUGAAGUUUCCUACAAUAGGCACAGCCCAGCUAAGUUUCCUACAAUGACAGUGGUUAUAACAAGUUAAUAUGGCAAGUCACUGUUCAAUUAUCUGCCUAACAAGUGUUGGAUAUAAUGAUGGUUCUACAUAAAGUUUGAUAAACAUCAUCCACUGUUCAAUUAUGAAAAAACCACUGAUUAAGACCAAAGUCCAGACAAGCACUAAUCAACUAAAUGUGAAACACUCUCCAACAACAGUGGUUCCCCAUCAACAUUAGUUGUUCUAUUUUUGUUUAUGUUAACAGUGUUUAUUCUAUCUUUGUUUAUUUUAACAGUCCUUAUAUGUAAC